rnacentral:lncRNA from 1 species
GUAGGAAUAUUUGCAUUAUGUACCAUGUGAUCACCCAAACCCCCCUGAACCUUCCAGCAUUGAUGUUUGAGGCCAUGAGAAAAACCCUGAACAGGUCCAAGGCUCACUUGCCUUUUGGUAUGGCACUCACUUUAGUUUUUAGAAGGUUCGGAAUCAGUUUUGAGGGGAAGGCAGUUGCUAGACUAUCUCAUUCUGACACCAUCAACUGCCACACACUGCAUUGUAUGGGUUUCUCUAAGAUUGAUGGUGGUUGGACAAAGGGUGUUGAGGAGAGAGCA